rnacentral:rRNA from 1 species
UGAGGAAUAUUGGUCAAUGGGCGAGAGCCUGAACCAGCCAAGUAGCGUGCAGGAUGACGGCCAUAUGGGUUGUAAACUGCUUUUAUGUGGGGAUAAAGUGCGUGACGUGUCAUGCAUUGCAGGUACCACAUGAAUAAGGACCGGCUAAUUCCGUGCCAGCAGCCGCGGUAAUACGGAAGGUCCGGGCGUUAUCCGGAUUUAUUGGGUUUAAAGGGAGCGUAGGCUGUCUAUUAAGCGUGUUGUGAAAUUUACCGGCUCAACCGGUGGCUUGCAGCGCGAACUGGUCGACUUGAGUAUGCAGGAAGUAGGCGGAAUUCAUGGUGUAGCGGUGAAAUGCUUAGAUAUCAUGACGAACUCCGAUUGCGCAGGCAGCUUACUGUAGCAUAACUGACGCUGAUGCUCGAAAGUGCGGGUAUCAAACAGG